rnacentral:rRNA from 1 species
AGAGUUUGAUCAUGGCUCAGAACGAACGCUGGCGGCGUGGAUAAGACAUGCAAGUCGAACGGAAAUUGGUUUGUAGCAAUACAGACUGGUUUUAGUGGCGAAAGGGUGCGUAACACGUAGCUAUCUACCUUCAAGUGGGGGAUAACGCCGAGAAAUCGGUGCUAAUACCGCAUGUGAACGAAAGUUUAAGACUGGGGAUCGUAAGACCUGGUGCUUGAAGAUGAGGCUGCGGCCUAUCAGCUAGUUGGCGGGGUAACGGCCCACCAAGGCUAAGACGGGUAGCUGGUCUGAGAGGACGACCAGCCACACUGGAACUGAGACACGGUCCAGACACCUACGGGUGGCAGCAGUCGAGGAUUUUUCUCAAUGGGGGAAACCCUGAAGGAGCGACGCCGCGUGAGGGAUGAAGGUCUUCGGAUUGUAAACCUCUGUCAUCUGGGAACAAUGCGCUCCACCUAACACGUGGAUCGUUGAUAGUACCGGAAGAGGAAGCAGUGGCUAACUCUGUGCCAGCAGCCGCGGUAAUACAGAGACUGCAAGCGUUGUUCGGAUUCAUUGGGCGUAAAGGGUGCGCAGGCGGUGUGCUAAGUCAGAUGUGAAAUCUCACAGCCUAACUGUGAUAGGUCAUUUGAAACUGGCAUGCUAGAGGACUGGAGAGGAGACUGGAAUAGUCGGUGUAGCGGUGAAAUGCGUAGAGAUCGACUAGAGCACCGGUGGCGAAGGCGGGUCUCUGGACAGUUCCUGACGCUCAGGCACGAAAGCCAGGGGAGCAAACGGGAUUAGAUACCCUAGUAGUCC